ACCAGACUCCUACGGGAGGCAGCAGUGGGGGAUAUUGCACAAUGGGGGGAACCCUGAUGCAGCGACGCCGCGUGGGUGAAGAAGCGCCUCGGCGCGUAAAGCCCUGUCAGCAGGGAAGAAAAUGACGGUACCUGAAGAAGAAGCCCCGGCUAACUACGUGCCAGCAGCCGCGGUAAUACGUAGGGGGCAAGCGUUAUCCGGAUUUACUGGGUGUAAAGGGGGCGCAGACGGCGAUGCAAGCCAGGAGUGAAAGCCCGGGGCCCAACCCCGGGACUGCUCUUGGAACUGCGUGGCUGGAGUGCAGGAGGGGCAGGCGGAAUUCCUGGUGUAGCGGUGAAAUGCGUAGAUAUCAGGAGGAACACCAGUGGCGAAGGCGGCCUGCUGGACGAUGACUGACGCUGAGGCUCGAAAGCGUGGGGAGCAAACAGGAUUAGAUACCCCCGUA
rnacentral:rRNA from 1 species